UACGUAGGGUGCGAGCGUUAAUCGGAAUUACUGGGCGUAAAGUGUGCGCAGGCGGCCGAGCAAGUCGAGUGUGAAAGCCCCGAGCUUAACUUGGGAACUGCGCUCGAAACUACUUGGCUAGAGUGUGGCAGAGGGAGGUGGAAUUCCACGUGUAGCGGUGAAAUGCGUAGAGAUGUGGAGGAACACCGGUGGCGAAGGCGGCCAUCUGGACCGCAACUGACGCUGAGGCGCGAAAGCGUGGGGAGCAAACAGG
rnacentral:rRNA from 1 species